ACGUACAGCGCCCAACACAUACCCAACCUCCCUUCUCCCAUGGCCCAACCUACCUCCACCAUCUUCCUCCUGCCUCGUCCUCAACAUCCUCCCCAACCCGCCCCGCACCUGUGCUCCACCCCGAGCCGCCGCCCCUACCAUCCCCACCUUCUCCGACGCACGCACCCACCCCCACCCUCCCCACCGUCUCCGGCGCGUGCGGCCCACCCCGAGCCGCCAUCCCACCCUCCCCACUGUCUUCGGCGCGGCGCGACCCACCUCGAGCCGUCGUCCCACCCUCCCCACCAUCUCCGGCGUGGCGCGGCCCACCCCGAGCCACCGUCCCAUGAGCCACCAACCACCCUCCCCACCUUCUCCGGUGAGGCCCGCCCCACCUGAGCCGUCGUCCCACCGUCCCACCUUCUCCGGCGGGAUCCGCCUCCCAACCCUUCCCAGACACCUAACCCGGCCGCGCGAUCGUCGGAUCCGGCGGGAUCCUUCCUCCCGUGCUUGCCCGGCGACGCGUGCAUCGCAAACAGAGGCGAGGUGCCCCCUCACCCCGGCCCUUGUGCCCCUCCCCGCGACGGCGCGCCCUGGUGGUCUCCAAAUCUGGGCCAGGAGCGCCUACCCCCGUCCCAAGAUUUAGCUCCUCUGGCUGCAUGGCGCAGGUCCCCCAUUCCCCGGGCGAGCUCUCGUGCUCCCCUGCCCGCCGGCGAUCUCUACUGCUUCCCACCCCCCCGACGAGCUCUCCUGCCUCCCCUCCCCUCUACCAAGCUGGCCUGAAGAUGGUCGAGGCACCUGAUGCAGUUCGUUUCGUGGGUUGUGCUGUGCAGUGUGUGCGGCAUGCAGCUCAGAGCCAGCGAGGAUAUUCCCAUGUGUUGGCCGUAGCGCGCGCCCCUUCCUAGCAUGCCGACAUGUCAGGCCGCGUUUGCUUGCGGCAGUGGCUCCGGACCAUGGACACAGCCGGAUGCAAGACCCUGCAUCCCACAUCGCCGCCCUUCGACUUCUUCCUCGCAACAAGGCGUGCUGUGAGAAAGCGUGUGAGAGUGCAGCUUGCCGUUGCGGAUGCAGUCCGUCGUCCCGGCCAGUUCAUUGCGAGACUCCAUGGCGCUAGUUGCGCCGCUCCUUUUCUUGUUGCUAUGUCUGAGGCGAGGACGGGCUCUGCCGCACCGGGAACCAGGGUGUUCGCGACACCGGCAAAGACGGCGUGGUGGUUCUCUUCUUCCUCAACAACAGAAGUUGCGGUACGGCUAUGUAAUUGUUGAAGUUCAGGAAUAUGUUUGGUGUCUUUCCAGAUUUCGUUUGGGUGCAACACUGCAGUUCGCCUGGGUCUUCACAGCGGUGCGGACGGGUGUGCAGUAGGGUGCUUGCAGUGCGAUGGCGCGAUGCUCACGGUCUUGAAUAAAUUUGUUUGAUGCGA